CCUACGGGGGGCACCAGUGGGGAAUAUUGCACAAUGGGCGCAAGCCUGAUGCAGCCAUGCCGCGUGUAUGAAGAAGGCCUUCGGGUUGUAAAGUACUUUCAGCGGGGAGGAAGGCGAUAAGGUUAAUAGCCUUGUCGAUUGACGUUACCUACAGAAGAAGCACCGGCUAACUCCGUGCCAGCAGCCGCGGUAAUACGGAGGGUGCAAGCGUUAAUCGGAAUUACUGGGCGUAAAGCGCACGCAGGCGGUUUGUUAAGUCAGAUGUGAAAUCCCCGGGCUCAACCUGGGAACUGCAUCUGAUACUGGCAAGCUUGAGUCUCGUAGAGGGGGGUAGAAUUCCAGGUGUAGCGGUGAAAUGCGUAGAGAUCUGGAGGAAUACCGGUGGCGAAGGCGGCCCCCUGGACGAAGACUGACGCUCAGGUGCGAAAGCGUGGGGAGCAAACAGGAUUAGAUACCCUCGUAGUC
rnacentral:rRNA from 1 species